GUACACGCUGUGACUAGCAUAUCAAUAAGCGGAGGAAAAGAAACUAACAAGGAUUCCCCUAGUAACGGCGAGUGAAGCGGGAAGAGCUCAAAUUUGAAAUCUUAAAGGGUUUCCCUUUACGAAUUGUAGUUUAAAGAAGUGUUUUCUGUUGAGGUUUUGGUAAAAGUUCUUUGGAAUAGGACAUCAUAGAGGGUGAGAAUCCCGUAUUUGACCUUUACUUUCAACUUUGUGAUACACUUUCAAAGAGUCGGAUUGUUUGGGAAUGCAGUCCAAAAUGGGUGGUAAAUUUCAUCUAAAGCUAAAUAUUGGCGAGAGACCGAUAGCGAACAAGUACCGUGAGGGAAGGAUGAAAAGGAACUUUGAAAAGAGAGUUAAACAGUACGUGAAAUUGUCAAAAGGGAAGCGUUUGACACCAGUGUUGUUUUUCUGAAAAUCAAUUAAAGAACUGUUUAUGCUAAGUUGUUUAGACUUUAUCAGCUAACUGUUUAGUUUUGAGCUUUUCUUUAAUGCACUUUUCAGUUAACAAGUCAACAUCAAUUUCUUUUGCUGUAAAAAAGCUUGAGGAAGGUGGCUUGAGAUUCGUCUUAAGUGUUUAUAGCCUCUUGCCUAUGCAGUCGGAGAGAUUGAGGUCUGCAGCGUAGAUCCUUCGGGGCUAAAUGCAUUUGUGCUAAGUUAUAGCAUUUUAUAGACAACUUGUUGACUAUGAUUUGUCUUGUAGCUUACUCGCUUAUGUUAUUUUACCUACGCUUAGGAUGUUGAAGAUGUAGCACAUCAU
rnacentral:rRNA from 1 species